GAUAGGCAGUACCUAGAUCUCCACAUGAAAAACAUGUGCAGGGAAGGGUAUGAGUACACAAUAACGGUACUCAGUAAGUGCCAAGCCUAACCUCGGUCGAGUAGUGACGAUAUCAAGUCAGGAUCCUACUGGUAUAAAUAUAAUGGAAUAAGACAAAAAGAAAUAUUACAGCAAAAUAAAUACAAAAAAUCUUACAGGAAUAGAAUUCAAUGAAAGCUAACAGCUCAGAACACGGUAAUAGCAAUAGGUGAUCUCCCAAGAUACCGUAUCAUAGUUCCAAACGUAAAUGUGUAGGGGAAUAUCUAGAAAUACCGUUCCGUAUUCCCAAAGUAUAUAUAUAGUGCUGGAGGAUCUUAUGGAAUACCAUUUCGUAAUCCCAAAGUAAAUAUGCAGUACAAGGGGAUCUCUCGGAAUACCCUUUUGUCGUCCCAAAGUAUAUAUGUAACUCAACCAAUAUAAAUAUCAGUCACAGCAAGAAAAUCGACAGAUUAGAUUAAGUUCAAAUCAAGAACCCAGGUAAUUUCGCUAAACAUGCUGCACAGAGUUCAAUUAGGCAGUUAAAAACACGUAGGCAUGCUUGUCUAAUCUAAACAUGAUAGUGCAUAUGCUAAUGUAAUUCAGAAAAGGAGAAAAAAAGGUUAUGACUUAGUGAAAAAUGGAGUUUUAAAACAAAUAGCACAUCUACGUACACGGUGCUUAGAUAUCAAACAGUACAAAAUCCUAAGAGGAGUUCCCCCACACAAGCUUAGGCAAGUCAUUUAUCGCAAAUCAAGCUCAAUUUAUUCAUAAUAAUUCUAUUCUACAAAUAUCCAGCUCCGGAUGGCCCAAAUCUGUCCAAAACCAAAUAUAUAACAUAAUAUAGUUGUAAGAAACUAAUCUAGAUAGCAAAACUAAAAAUAAGACAAGAAAUUAGAAAAAUGCCCGAAAAAGCCUCAUCGGGAACAUGCCUCAGAAAUGGGUAUAAGUUACAAAUUAUGAACACCCAUUUACUCAAGAGUUCACUUGUACCAAAAGUAUCCGAAUCCGAUGUCUAAAUCCCACUCAAAAUUUAGAAAAUCGAUUAGGGAACUUUUCCCCAAUUGUCCCAACUUUCUCACUCAAAAUCCUUGAUUAAAUGAAGAAAACAAUAAUAAAUUAAUGAAAUAUAAAAAAAAACGAGUAAGGAAUCGCUACCCACAAGAUUUCUCUAAAAAUAUUCAAAUUAUCGCCUAAAUCCAAGCUCUCAAAAUCAAAUGGUAAAGAAUGACAUAAACCCUCAAGUUGGCCCCCUUUCUGCUAGUUAGACCGAACCUGCGGUCCAUUCAUCGCACAUGUGGUACCGUACCUGCGGAAAAUUAAUCGCAGGUGCAAAAUAUCACUUAAGCCCUCACGGCCACAUCUGCGAUAAAAAGGCCACACCUGCGCGUGCGCGCCUGCGGAAAGUCUCUUGCUUCUGCGGUCCUUGGUCACUACUGUGGUAUCCACAGAUGCGGAAAUAACCUCGCACCUAUGUUACCACCCUGGGCUACCCAAUUUCGCUCAUGUGCUCCAAGUCCUGCUUCUGUGGGCUCGCACUGUCACGACCCCAGUUCGCCCUCUGUGAAUUAUUGUGAUGGCACCUAGUCAUCUACGACUAGGUAAGCCUAACAAUGCGAAAAACAAUUGAGACUUUGCCGAAACAUAACUUAAAACCAAAAUUUAACGAAAUGAAAAUGAAAUAUAAAAUGCCACUCGGCAUAUAUAAUACAACAACUCAAACUUCUACAAAACUAUCCAAAACCCAAAAAUUCACGGGAACACAAGGUAGAAGAAAUACAGUAAGGUGCUCUAAUCUCUAGAAAUGUCUAUAUCAAUAGUACUAAAGAAGGGAUAAUACCACAAGAUAGAGUUAAGAAGGAGACUCUUCUAUUUGUGGAUGCGGCAGAUGUACCUCGAAGUCUCCAAUGCUCUCCCUGCCUCAAGGAUGGUAAGCAUAUGUGGAGGUACCUGGAUCUGCACAUAAAAAACAUGUGCAGAAAGGGCAUGAGUACACCACAUCAGUAGUCAAUUAGUGACAAGCCUAACCUCGGUCGGGUAGUGACGAGAAAGGUCAGGGCCCUACUGAUAUAAAUAAAUAAUAAAUGAUAGGAUAUGUAAGCAUUACAAAUUAGAAUCUAAAGUAAAAAUCUAAACAGGAUAGUAAGGAUACAGUAAUGGAAAACAUAAAUAAGGCAAACACCAGGAAAUACCGCUCCGACAAGGAUGAUAAUCGGGGAUCUCUUGGUAUCCCAAGGAUCUCUUAGUAUCCUCAUCAUAUACACUAUAGAUCUCUUGGUAUCCCCGGGAUCCCUGGGUAUCCUCAAUAAAUAUGCCAGGGAUCUCUUGGUAUCCCGAAGAUCUCUUGGUAUCCUUAAUAAAUAUGUCAGGGAUCGAGUAUCCUCAAUAAAUAUGCCAGGGAUCUCUUGGUAUCCCGAGUAUAUCUUGGUAUCCUUAAUAAAUAUUCCAGUGAUCUCUUAGUAUCCCGCACCUCAGUACAGAUUAUAAACAUGUGCAGAGGAUCUCCCGGGAUGCCUUCCCAAAUGUAAACACACAACAUCAACUCAAGAAUAUUAGAAUAAAGGCUGAACUCGUAAAAAGUAACAGUUAAUUCUAGCCUAACAUGUUUCACGAAAUACAAUUAAGUCAGCUUAAGCAAAUAGGCAAUUAAGUCAACUAAGCAUGCUUUUCUAAACUAAUACACGCUACAUUUGCAAGUAGAAAUAAAUAGGUAAGGAAAGAACUCUGUUUAAAUACUUAAAAUAAAAUUGGAUUUUCAACAAUUAGCUCAAGUACACACUUGUCACCGCACGUACAAGGUGUUCAAAUACCAAACAUCAUAUCGUAAGGGGAAAGGACCCCCCCACAAAGUUAGACAAGUCACUUACCUCGAACAUGCUCAGAUUCAACUAGGAACCACACUUUUUCCACGGGUAUCCGACUACAGAUGGACCAACUCUAUUCAAUUCAAUUACAUAUUGUAAAUAACAUCUCAAGCAACUGAUUCUACGAUUUAAUUCAAAGCUAAGACACAAAAUUAGGUAAAAUGACCAAGAUGCCCCUCAGGCCAACGUCUUAGAAUUGGGUGAAAUUAAUAUUUUUAGAAACCUUGUACUCUCAGGAGUCUAAUCAUAUAAAAAUCUCUCAAAUCGAAUAUCAAAAACCCAAUCAAAACCAAAUAAUUCAACAUUUGAAGUUUUAUCCAGCUUUUCUAAAUUUUUAAUCUUAAAUCCGAAUUUAAAUGGUGAAAUUAACUAUAGAUUGAUGGAAUAUAACUAGAAAAGAUUAAACAAUCAUUACCCAGUGAUCUCCUCUUCAAAUCCCUCUUAAAAUUGCCCUCUCCCGAGCUCCAAUUCAAUUUUUUAACUUUUGAAACUAAACCCUCGAAAUUUUAUAUUUCUGCCCUGUGAUUUCUGCAUGUGCGGUCCCGCUUCUGCGAAACAUAUGUCGCAUCUGCGACUUUCGUUAAAUAGCCUAGGAGUUGUAUCUGCGAUACCUCUUUCGCAGAUGCGAACCGCAUCUGCGGUGAAACUUUUGCAUCUAUGAAAACUGAAGGAACACCCAAAAUCUGCAUAUGCGCUUGCCUUACCUCUUCUGCGGCUUCACACCUGCGGAACCCAAACCGCAGGUAUGGUUAUGAUAGACACCGGGAAUUUUUAUGAAAUCUCUAGCUCCAAAAUCUUUCCAUCAACCCUCCGAAAUCAUCCCGAGGCCCCCGGGACCCCAACAUAACCUAAAAUAUCAUUUUGAACUUAUUCCAACCUUCGGAACACUACAAAUAACACCAAAACACAUAUUUUUCAUCGAAUUCAAGCAUAAAUUUUUCCAAAAACUCUAAAACACAUUUUCAAACAAAAGGUCUACCAAAUUCGUCAGAAUGACCCAAAAUUUUAUACACCCAUCCCAAAUGACAUGACAAAACUACUGCAAUUUCAAAAAUUCCAUUCUGGCCCUCAGAUUAAAAUCUCACUAUCGAACCAGAAACAUCCAAAAUUCAAACUUCGACAUUUCAAGUCUAAAUUAGCUACAGACCUUCAAAAGACAAUCCGAAUACGCUCCCAACCCCAAAAUUACCCAACAGCGCUAACGAAACUAUCAGAUUUCCAUUUUGAGACCGUCUUCUCACUGUCCCGACGGUUAAUUUUCUAGCACUUAAGCUCUCAUUUAGGGACUAAGUGUCCCAGAACUCUCCGAAACUCGCACCGAACAUCCCGGCUAACCAAAUUAGAAAAAAUAGACUUGGGGAAAGUAGUUAAUAGGGGAUCGGGGCGUUAAAUUCUUCAAACGACAGGCCGGGUCAUCACACGCACUUGCGGUGGCCUCUCCGCAGGUGCGACUACACCAUCACCUGAAAAUCUUCAACAGUGGCCUAAGUCCAAUUUUCAUCUCAUUGAGCAUCCGAAACACACCCGGGGCCCCGGGGACCUCAAUCGAACACACCAACAAUUCCUAAAACACCAUCAAACGUAGUUGAGCCCUCAAAUCACAUCAAAUAAUACUAAAAUCACAAAUCAUCCUCCAAUUCAAACUUAAAAAACAUGAAACUUUAAAAUUCUACAACCGAUGUCGAAACCUGUCAAACUACGUCCAAUUGACUUUUCAAAUUUUGCAGACAAGUCAUAUUCAACCCUACGAACCUAAUCCAACUUCAAUAAUCAGAUUAAGACACACGAUAUAAAAAAUUCCACUACCGGCAAAAAAUUUUAAAAAUUUAACUUUUGCCAUUUCAAGCCUAAAUGAGCUACAGAUCUCAAAAAUACAAUUCGGAUACGCCCCUUAGACCAAUCACUCGACGAAGCUAACAAAAUCGACGAAACUCUAUUCUGUAGUCGUCUUCACACAAUUUUAACUUUGGUCCAAAUUCUAAGUCUUAAGCCUCCGUUUUAGGGACUAAGUCUCCUAAACACUUCCAAUAAAAAACAAAAUGAACCUCCCGGCAAGUCACAAUUGUAGAAAUAGAUACAGAAAAAGUAAUUAAUAAGGGAUCAGGGCUCUAACUCUCAAAAUGACCGAUCGGGACGUUACAUCUGGAUAACCCACCAAUUUGUAGCAACUCUCCCUUUUGUGUUUCAUAUUGCAAUAAUCACAGUAUAAUCCAUUUGGUUUCUUAAACCUAUUUUUCUAUAUAUCAGCAAGAGUUGUAGGAUCAUUCAAAUCUUGAUUUUGUAAUGGUGAGCACACUGUGUUAUCAUAUUUGACUGCAUUCAUUGGCUUUCAUCUUGAAUGAGCAUAUUUUAGGCUCGGUUCAGUGAUGUACUUGGAACUAUCAUCAAAAUUUGGUUGUGUGACUGUGCAUAAGUUUCAUUUAAGCCCAUCGCAAAAAUUGCAAUAGCUUCUGUUGUUCUGUAUGAUCUGUAUAAGCCCUGACAUUCCUAGGCAUUGGAACUAGUGAAAGGUAGUCAUCCCAAACAUUAUGCAACUUAGAGAAGUAAUCACAUAUAGUAGAAUCCCUUAUGUCAUAUUGUGGAUUUCUCUAUGUAACUGAUAGAUUCGUGUAAGAUUUCUUUUAUCAAAACGCUCUUUCAAGUCCAUCCAAACUUUAUGAGCAUUAUAUGAAUACUUAAUCUAUUUCCUAGUUCCCUUGAUACUAAAUUUGGGAUCCAUGUCAGGACAAAAGCAUUGCACCUAUCACAUUCAUGUACUAGGUCUUCUUUAUAAUAUUUCUUUCAACAGCUGCCAUCAUUAAACCCUAGUUUAUUUUUUGCUAACAAUGCACCUUCAUAGAAUUAUUCAAUGUAGUGUAAUUUUCUAUACCAGUUAACUAUUGAAGGAUUAGGAUUAAACCUGGAGUAUCAGAUGGAUGUAGAUACAGAGGAUUCCUUGGGUGAAUAUCGGUGAAUCGUUCGACCGGAUCUCUAGUAAUAGGUACUGGAUCUUCAGCGUCAAUCGACAUUUGUACAAAAUUACCUGAAAUGAUUGAAGCAAUUUGAAAUUGUAGCUAUAAGGAGCUUAGGAUUCCAGAAAUUGAACUAACUUUUAUGUAAAAAAAGAAAAAAGAUACAAAAAGACAUGUGAAGAAAGAAGAAGCUUUAGACAUCACAAUAAUAGCAUAAAUUAGGGUUUGCUAUGUUCCGAAAAUCAUUCUCUGCUCAGCGAUUGUUCUUAGUUGCUCAUCUUUCAGCUCAAAAUUCCGCCGGUCGAUUUGCUGUGGUACUAUGUUAAAAGGAGAAAUGGAGUUGGGUUAGAGAGUGAGAGCUUGGGUUAGUUACAGAGAGAAGAAGAGAGAAAAUCUCAAUUGUAU
rnacentral:lncRNA from 1 species